rnacentral:rRNA from 1 species
GAGUAACGGAGGAGUACGAAGGUGCGCUCAGACCGGUCGGAAAUCGGUCGUAGAGUAUAAAGGCAAAAGCGCGCUUGACUGCGAGACAGACACGUCGAGCAGGUACGAAAGUAGGUCUUAGUGAUCCGGUGGUUCUGUAUGGAAGGGCCAUCGCUCAACGGAUAAAAGGUACUCCGGGGAUAACAGGCUGAUACCGCCCAAGAGUUCAUAUCGACGGCGGUGUUUGGCACCUCGAUGUCGGCUCAUCACAUCCUGGGGCUGAAGCCGGUCCCAAGGGUAUGGCUGUUCGCCAUUUAAAGUGGUACGCGAGCUGGGUUUAGAACGUCGUGAGACAGUUCGGUCCCUAUCUGCCGUGGACGUUUGAGAUUUGAGAGGGGCUGCUCCUAGUACGAGAGGACCGGAGUGGACGAACCUCUGGUGUUCCGGUUGUCACGCCAGUGGCAUUGCCGGGUAGCUAUGUUCGGAAAAGAUAACCGCUGAAAGCAUCUAAGCGGGAAACUUGCCUCAAGAUGAGAUCUCACUGGGAACUUGAUUCCCCUGAAGGGCCGUCGAAGACUACGACGUUGAUAGGCUGGGUGUGUAAGCGUUGUGAGGCGUUGAGCUAACCAGUACUAAUUGCCCGUGAGGCUUGACCAU